AAGUAUCAGCAUACUUUAUGCAUGUUAGCGCGUACAAUAGAAAUAUUAGAUUUAGAACGCUAGAGGCGCUGUUAGUUCCAUACAAUGGUUGUGAUUGGGAUGAAUCAACCAUAGUAGCCUUGAUUUACUAUCAGCGCGAUCCAUCGGUACUCAAAGUGUCAAAUUCAAGAUUAAUUGAAGGGAGGUUCAGUGAUCUAAGCAGUCAGUGGGUGCGCGGUGUGGUCAGCUGCGAGGAGGUGAAAAGUGACAGCUGGUGAGUCGGCGAGCUGGCCAAUAUGUUUAUGUAUUUUUUCCACCGAUGGUUCCUAGCGUAUCCAUAGAGAUGUUUGUGUUAUUGAAAAUUGUUGCGUUUGACUCAAUAGUGAAGAUGCCAUCAUUUUGUGCAGUGAAGUAUUGCGGGAAUACGAUUGCGAACACAAAAACCCGUGGAAUUGUGUUCCAUCGAUUUCCAAAAGAUGGAGAGCGACGCUAAUCGUGGGUCGUGUUCUGUGGCCAACAUGAUGGUUGGUCACCACAGCACAAAAUCUUGUGGUAUCUGUUUUAGCAGAGUAUCCAAAUUUUGAUGCAGUGGUGGUGAAAAACCUACAUCAAAAUAAGAACAAUUGCCCGGAUGCGGUUUGAGAAUCUAAGAGCAGAAGGAUUAGUGUCCAUAAACUCAACUGCCGAUACUGGAACGUUAAAACGAUUACUCGAAGAUGAUGGUAGC